CCUGAUGGCUCAGUGAUAAGGAAUCUGCCUGCAAUGCAGGAGACUCAGGUUCAAUCCCUGGAUCAGGA
rnacentral:tRNA from 1 species